rnacentral:rRNA from 1 species
CUGCAUGGCUGUCGUCAGCUCGUGUCGUGAGAUGUUGGGUUAAGUCCCGCAACGAGCGCAACCCUUGUCCCUAGUUGCUACGCAAGAGCACUCUAGGGAGACUGCCGGUGACAAACCGGAGGAAGGUGGGGAUGACGUCAAGUCCUCAUGGCCCUUAUGGGUAGGGCUUCACACGUCAUACAAUGGUCGGAACAGAGGGUCGCCAAGCCGCGAGGUGGAGCCAAUCCCAGAAAACCGAUCGUAGUCCGGAUCGCACUCUGCAACUCGAGUGCGUGAAGCUGGAAUCGCUAGUAAUCGCGGAUCAGCAUGCCGCGGUGAAUACGUU